rnacentral:rRNA from 1 species
GAUGAACGCUAGCGGCAGGCCUAAUACAUGCAAGUCGAGGGGUAGAGGAAGCUUGCUUCCUUGAGACCGGCGCACGGGUGCGUAACGCGUAUGCAACCUACCCUUUUCUGGGGGAUAGCCCGAAGAAAUUCGGAUUAAUACCGCAUAAGACCACGAUUCGGCAUCGAGAUGGGGUCAAACAUUUAUGGGAGAAGGAUGGGCAUGCGUGCCAUUAGCUAGUUGGCGGGGUAACGGCCCACCAAGGCGACGAUGGCUAGGGGAUCUGAGAGGAUGGACCGCCACACCGGUACUGAGACACGGACCAGACCCCUAACGGAGGCAGGCGUAAGGAAUAUAGGUCAAUUGAGCCAACUCUGAACCAGCCAUGCCGCGUGCAGGAAGACGGCCCUCUGGGUUGUAAACUGCUUUUGUACGGAGCGAAAAGGCUCACUCUAAUACAGGGGUCUCAUGACGGUACCGUAAGAAUAAGCACCGGCUAACUACGUGCCAGCCGCCGCCGUAA